rnacentral:lncRNA from 1 species
CAGAGAGAGUCGCACCCUAGUUCCAAGAGCGGUCACUCCAGGGGACCGCACUAGAGACCCGGCAGACAGUGCGGUCUGUAGUGGGGCGCGGUAGUAAAAUUGGGGUGGGGGGCGUGAGAAAACAGCUGACCAAGACCCGGAGAGCUGAGUAAGGAGCCCGGAGGCAGAGGGAUUAGCUCCAGUGGACUCUGUGUACUCCCUCCUGAGAUCGAGUUUGUGCAUCUGAGGACAUCAGAUUGCUUAGAGAUUCCUGAGACCAUCUGAACCAACAUCCACCAAGUUCUCUGACUCCCUUCAGUGACAAGAGAUUUCUUCUACUGCCUUCAUCUCUGCCUGUACAAGAUUCACUGUGAUCUGCAUUUGCUGUUCAAGAAGACUCCACGUGUUACGAAUACCAGUUGCCAAAACACCUACACUCAUGAAUCCAACUUCAAACCCUAUCCACCAUGCUCUCCACUUUUUUGAUAUUGUGCUCCAAAAUUUUCCCUCGUAUUUCCCUUCUAACACCCAAGAGAUCACCAGUGCCCAACUUAGAGAUUUCAUUCUUGAUCUCUUUCUCCAGGGUGAUCUCAUGGAUUUCACUUGGGAUGAGGUAAUUCAGUUUCUGGAACUUCCGUAAAAAUAUGGCAUUAUGUCUCUCCUUAAAUAAAAGUGGA